GACGAACGCUGGCGGCGUGCUUAACACAUGCAAGUCGAACGGAAAGGCCCUGCUUUUGUGGGGUGCUCGAGUGGCGAACGGGUGAGUAACACGUGAGUAACCUGCCCUUGACUUUGGGAUAACUUCAGGAAACUGGGGCUAAUACCGGAUAGGAGCUCCUGCUGCAUGGUGGGGGUUGGAAAGUUUCGGCGGUUGGGGAUGGACUCGCGGCUUAUCAGCUUGUUGGUGGGGUAGUGGCUUACCAAGGCUUUGACGGGUAGCCGGCCUGAGAGGGUGAGCGGCGCCACAGUGACUCUGAUACGCCCCAGACUCCUCCGCGGGGCAGCGCUGUGGAGUAUUGCGCAAUGGGCGGGGGCCCGUUGCGGCACCGCCGCGUGCGGGAUGUCGCCCUUCUCGGUGUGAACCCCUCUCUCCUCUGACGCGGCGUGUGUGACGGUAAUGGGUAAAGAAGCACCGGCUAACUCCGUG
rnacentral:rRNA from 1 species